CAAAAACACAACAACUUCUCCAAUCAUAAAAUACCGCUCCUUCCAUAUUGAUUGUGCUUUGGCAACUAGAUGCAGUGCUAGGCUUCACUCUGCAAGGUGUUUAAAAAGAAAAACAGGUUUACCCGGGAUUUAUCAUGGAGUGGAAUAAGAGUGCCUCUCUCUCUAGAUGGGAACUUUGCUCCAUGGGACAUUACACCAGGAAGCCAUGGUGCUGUGUUGCUCCUGGUGACACUGAAUGUGAUUAAGGAAACUUCCUUAACCCAUUAGCUUCAUUCUGUGAACUGUUAUAGACUCAGUAGUACUACUGCAAGCAAUAAUGAUUUUUCAGGUUUCCUACACAGUCAUGAGAUCUUGCAUCAUUUCCAUCAAGAUCAUUCAGUUGUUUAUGUUACCACAAGCUAUUCCUUCUACUUGAAGUGAAGGUACUGUAUGCCUUAAGGCAGAAAAACGCAUAAAGGUAUCUGGAAAAGUAAAUUGCCAGAAGCGAAGAGCACCCUCGCUUUCAAAAUCCUGUGGAUGGGGCAUUUCUGUAAGAAAUUAGCAGUGUCGAGACACAGGCUCGAAAGAGAGCCGCGUAUGGCGCUAGUCGCUGCUUCCUCGGGCAGAAAUCUCGCUGGAGCCCAGCACGGCAGUCUCGAGCACGCAGUUCGCUUUCAGACAGACACAGCUUUCGCCUCCUCUCCCAUCUCUCCUCUAUUUUCCCCCUCUCCUCUCUCUUUCUGCUCCUCGUAGAGCAGCGCUUUAAUAAAGUCACAUAAGUGAUUGAAAUUAACAUAAAUCAUUAUUAGUUAUUAGGAUUUGCUCUAAAUUACUCCGUGAAUAUAACACCAAACCCCAUCUGCCACUCCUGCUCUAGCGGCAAUAGAUUGCAGAUAAAAUAAAUGUCCUUACCCCAUUAGAAUGUUCCUGUCUCUGUAGCCAAAAGCCAAACAAAAGCAAUAAAUACCGAGCUUUUUUCUCUCCACUAUUCAGCUGUGACUGUUUUCAUCAGCUCUGCCUCUAGAAAAGCUCGAUAGCUGCCUGAAAAUAUUGCAUUUUAUAUCACCAAAGGGCGAUUAAUAUUGCAUUAACUGUAUUUAACAUUUUUUAAGCGCGAGUAAUCUGAAAUGAGUAAGUUUCUGUUACUAAAUACAGGGGAUGUCAGAGCUGGUGAAAACAGCUUAAAAUAUCUGUAUAAACAGAUUAUUUGUUUCGUACUUUGUAUUUUUAUAAUGUUAUGGUAUAGUGUGCUCUGUUUGAAGUAGAAGAAGCCAUGCUAAUGGUCUGUUUAAAGUAUUCUGACACUGUCUGGAGACAUCCAAGUCUCUGCCUUCAUUAAAUGUUUAUUGUCAACACUUCAGUGAAAAAAAGUCUCGUGUAAGUGAAUUUCCACUGCUGGAUGCUGUCAACACUUUGUUUUAUUCUGAUCCGCGUGUACAAAAGUUUGUAUACAUUAUGCUGAAGUGAAGAGAGGCAGAGAUUUAGUGCGCUAUAAUUAGUUACCAAACAAACUUUUGUUAGUAAUUCGCUUUGCAUAAUGACCAUAAUCAAGGACAAAGAUGUGUAUAUCGCCGCCUUGUCUUCUCCCGGCGCAGCCUGUACAAAGACGCGCUCAUGUUGACAUGCUGUCCUCUCGUCAAGGAACAUCUAUUUAAAAUAAAAAGGGGGAAAAAAAAAAGAAAAAAAAAGAAAAAAAAAAGCCCACAGCUUUUACAUAUUUUAGCUCUGCCUUCCACUUUUAAGUUGUUCCCUUUCAUCCGACCGAGGGAUGCGCGCAUGCCUCCAUCCCUCCCCGGCUCCAGCGCUCAGCAGCACGAAGCCCGUUCCAUCGCUCAACCCGUUUUAGGGCGUUUUGUCUCCGCGCGGAAACAGAUCUGUGCGAGCGGGAGGGUCGGGCAACUCUUCCGUUGGAGGGGACUAUUUGGGAACUGGCACGAAUCGAUGCGAAGUUACCAUUUGUCUGCAACGCAGCAGCGUCAGUUCUAGGGUUUAAUUUUGAUAUAAAGCCUUUUCAAUACUUUGCUUCUUAGACAGAUUCGCUUUUUAUGACAUCAGAUUUUUUUUAAAGCAAUCCCCCCCCACCCCCGCCCCCGUUUUUAAAAAUAAGUGUUUCAGAACUUUCCUCCCAGAGUCAGAGAUGCUCUGGAAGAGUAAACACCGCGCGGGGGCCGGGUGGAAGUUUUGCCUUCAGGCGAACGGGAGAAAAGCAG
ensembl:lncRNA